AUUUAUAAACUGCAUAAAACCAUUCUGCUCUUAACCUUAAAGAAAUCAUCACCAUGAUCUUACUGGAGGGGAGUGAAGAGGACGACAACGAUGACGAUGAUGGAGGUGCUGGAGUAGGCGUCUGCUGCCAAAGAUCCAGAUCUACAUGGAGGGUGAAGAUGAAGACAAGAAUGACUUUGGUCCACAUAUAAAUGGAUGUCUGCCACCUCGGGUGGACCACUAGUCUACAUCAUUGAUUGAUGAGAAGAGUGCAAAGCUGCUGGAUAAUAUUCAUGAACUUUCUUUUCCUUUAUGGAAAUGAAGAGUUUAUAAAAACACUGUUUCUGUGUUUAAGCUUCACACACUGAGGAUUAUCCACAGAGAUACUUGAACUACUUCUGCUGUUUACUGCAGCAGGAUUGUUGCAGUCUGCUUUGAAGUCUGUCUGAUCAGAAGAAACCAAGAAGGAGCAUACGGAGAUCCGGUGCAGCCUCGUGGUUCAAUAUCUUGGACACCAGCUGUAUGACUGGAUGCACGUUAGUCAUUUUAGGAGUGGAUUUACCCUUACCUAUGUAGUUUUUGUUGUGAAACUAUAGCAUCAUGGUAAAUGGUCUGUACUUAUAUAGCGCCUUUUUAACCUUAAUGGUAUUCAAAGCGCUUUACACUGUGACUCAUUCACCCAUACACAAAUGAUGGCAGAGCUGCAUGCAAGAUGCUAGCCUGCCAUUGGGAGCAACUUGGGGUUCAGUGUCUUGCCCAAGGACACUUCGGCAUGUGGAGUCGUGUGGGCCAGGAUUCAAACCACCAACCCUGCGAUUAGUGGCCGACCCGCUCUACCAACUGAGCCACAGCUGCCCCGGCGUGUUUGUCCAAGCUCUGGUCUAAAAAAAUGUUUAUUAUGAUUUAUUUACAAUCAUAAGAUUGUAAAUAGCAGAGUCAUUACAAUGCUAUAGAUAUCCAUUCAUUUCUAAUAGAAUGUGGUGGCCCAUUCUCAGGAAGCGAUUCCAUUUGUGCCCGAAAAUGUCAGGGAACAAUUCGUUUUUGGAAAAAUCCAUGUUUGGUUUUCCCCAUAACAGAGAUAAUUUUUUUAAGGAUAUGAAAGAAAUGAAAUUCAGAUACUGUAAGAUAAAGUAACUUCUGUUUGAACCAUGUGAUCAACAAGACAUUGAUUAUUUCACUUCCUCAAAUAAGAUGCCAAAUUCAGUAUUUUUAGAAGAAGUGAAUUUAUAUUUGAAUUUCAAUAAAAAGACAUGUUUUUAUAAAAUGUUGCAUUAGUAAAUAGGAUAAACGAAUUGGUAUUCAGAUAAAACUAACAUAAAAAAAAAGAGAUGUUUAAUUUGGACAUUUCUUCAUUCAAAUUCAAACAUUCAAAGCUUUCAAUUAAUGUGAAUAAAUGAAUGAUAACUGAAUAAAAUAAUAUUGUCAGUAAUAAAUCAUAUGCAGUAUGUCAAAGGACUCUGUUUCCUGAGAAUGGGCCUGGUAUCUUUUCAGCAUUAUUUUGGUAUAAAUUCAUUUACUGAAUUUUGUAUCGAUAAAUGUCAUGAAUUUUUGUGUUGAUUCAUUUAAUGAAUUGUAUAGAAAUAUUGUUACUGAAUGACAUUUAAUUGUCAUUCAUUAACUGAAUUUAAUUGUCUAGCGGAAAAUGAGGUUAGUGUGGGAAGGGUGUUGUUAGUUAAUGUUGUUGUAGAUAUAAUUAAUAUCUCUACAAUCUUCUAACAGGCCACACAGGUAACACCCCUGCUUAAAAAUAAAAUCAA